rnacentral:rRNA from 1 species
UACGUAGGGGGCAAGCGUUGUCCGGAGUUACUGGGCGUAAAGCGCGCGCAGGCGGUCCUUUAAGUCUGAUGUGAAAGCCCACGGCUCAACCGUGGAGGGUCAUUGGAAACUGGGGGACUUGAGUACAGAAGAGGAAAGCGGAAUUCCACGUGUAGCGGUGAAAUGCGUAGAGAUGUGGAGGAACACCAGUGGCGAAGGCGGCUUUCUGGUCUGUAACUGACGCUGAGGCGCGAAAGCGUGGGGAGCAAACAGG